ACACGACUACAUUAGAUACCCGCGUAGUCCUAGCCGUAAACGAUACUCGCUAGGUGUCGGCCACGGUGCGACCGUUGUCGGUGCCGUAGGGAAGCCGUGAAGCGAGCCACCUGGGAAGUACGGCCGCAAGGCUGAAACUUAAAGGAAUUGGCGGGGAGCACAACAACGGGUGGAGCUUGCGGUUUAAUUGGAUUCAACGCCGGAAAACUCAUCGGGAGCGACAGCAGUAUGAUUGCCAGGUUGAUGACCUUGCUUGACAAGCUG
rnacentral:rRNA from 1 species